rnacentral:tRNA from 1 species
UGAUGCAGAGCUUGAAAAGUUAAGCAUUUCAUUUACAUUGAAAUGAUGUCUGUGCAAAUCAGAUUGUGUCAA